ACAUGCAAGUCGAACGAGAUCUCUAGCUAGCUUGCUAGCAGGAGUGAAAGUGGCGGACGGGUGCGUAACACGUGAGCAACCUACCCUGGAGUGGGGGACAACUCUCCGAAAGGAGGGCUAAUACCGCAUGUAGAUCUUCGGAUCAAAGGUGGCUUCGGCUACCGCUCCUGGAUGGGCUCGCGGCCUAUCAGCUUGUUGGUGAGGUAACGGCUCACCAAGGCUAUGACGGGUAGCUGGUCUGAGAGGACGAUCAGCCUCACUGGAACUGAGACACGGUCCAGACACCUACGGGUGGCAGCAGUCGAGAAUCAUUCACAAUGGGCGAAAGCCUGAUGGUGCAACGCCGCGUGGAGGAUGACGGCCCUAGGGUUGUAAACUCCUGUCAUCUGGGAGUAAUCCUUGCUCGUUAAUAGCUUGCAAGGUUGAUAGUACCAGAAGAGGAAGCGCCGGCUAA
rnacentral:rRNA from 1 species